CCGAGCCCGGCAGUCGCUCGCUUGUCUCUCACUCGGCACCGCGCGUCACUCAUCCUCACUCUUCCUCACUGACCCGACUCACGAGUCCUUUCGUCGUCCCCCGCAUCCGUCUUCCGCCCUUCUUCCCCCUGCUCAAAAAUCCGAUCCAAUUUUCAAAAAAUCCCCGAAUCUCAGCCGGAACUAGCUAGCCUUAUCGCCUAGGAGCACCGCUGAAAAACGCGUAAACGUAAUUCGAGCACAUUUCCGUAAUUAAGUACGCCAAAGGCCCUAAAAGUCACUUCUAACGAGUUUAAAUCGCGCAAGUGAGCUUUCGGCAUCUUCCUCGUUCGUAAAUUGGUUUUCCGGAUUUUUCUAGCAUCAACGAUGGCUCUCCUUACUCUCGACCCGACUGGAUUAUACUGAUAUUUGUGCUUAUCUACACUCUCGCCGAGUGUUGACCGCAACACAGAACAACACGACAGACAUGGCAGUCCUCCGGAUUUCCUCAUCCGCCCAACAAAACACAAAGAACUCGCCGAAAAAUUUUUCACAGGCUCGCCACGGCAUAUGCCAGCGAUAAGCACACUCCCGUUCCCGUACUGCCUGCCAGCAGCGGACAACGCGACAAUGAAGACUAGUGACAGAAUCAGACUGACUCUAUUCAAAGCUGUGCUCAGGAGAGCCGUCACAGGUGUCCUCCUCUCCUCCGUAGGCCCUGCCGCCGCCUGACCUCUCCAACGUCAACGCGCUCCGAACGCACAGCCCCCGAAAAACCCCACCCCCAUGACGUUUGGUUCCCAUGUAGCGACGCGCUGGACCCACAACGAGACCCAGACGAGUAGAUGAACUCUUGAGAAGACAUGCAUCCCCACCAUGGAAGAUUAGCCUCUCAAUCAGAGAGGAUUUGUCUUCCGGUUCCUCAACACUGGCUGGUCCUGCAGGAUGAUUCCGACCCCCUCAAACAUUGCUCCCCAAAACGAUUGUUCAGAGUGAUGCACGUGUAAUUUUUCUCUUGGAUCUGAAAUUCUCUGCGCUUACACU